rnacentral:tRNA from 1 species
UCAAAUCCGAUAAGGGGCU